rnacentral:rRNA from 1 species
UACGUAGGGUGCAAGCGUUGUCCGGAAUUAUUGGGCGUAAAGAGCUCGUAGGCGGUUUGUCGCGUCGGCUGUGAAAACCCGGGGCUCAACCUCGGGCCUGCAGUGGGUACGGGCAGACUAGAGUGCGGUAGGGGAGAUUGGAAUUCCUGGUGUAGCGGUGGAAUGCGCAGAUAUCAGGAGGAACACCAAUGGCGAAGGCAGAUCUCUGGGCCGUAACUGACGCUGAGGAGCGAAAGCAUGGGGAGCGAACAGG